AAAAGAAUUAUAUUGAGAGACUGGUUCUUGCCUAAUGAGCUGACACUAUCAAAGCAAUAGUGUGACUGGUAAGUUUAUAAUUUGGGAGCAGGAACUACAAUGCACCAAGAUUAUCUCAUGGAAGGUAUUAAGUUACAUCAGGAACAACUUUUAAACUGCAUAGAAUUGGAUGGCAUUCCUAGAACCUAAUUUGCUAAGACAGUGUCAAAAAUGAAUGAAAAUUGGUCCUUUCUAUCAGGAAGCAAAGAUCUAUUCUCUGCUCUGCCUGAUACGACAACAUGGAAGACCUCCUACUGUGGGCAUACAAAACAAGUAUUCUGAAGUGAAAAAACAAGAGGUUUUACAGAGUAUCAUCUGCUUUACAACAGCAAGUUGGACUCCCCAGGAAGGCAGCCAUGUGGGGAACCUGCCACGCACCAGCAAUGCAGCAGCUCACCAGAAACACACCUAUGAAGUCAGGAGCCCCCAAAUCCUCAGCUCUCUGGCAGCUUGCCACAUCAGUUAUUGCAGAACCAGCCAAGUGUCCAGGAGCUGGGGGGAGGGGGGUUGGUAGCUCAGGAGGCUCUGGCUCCUUGGCAGACUGCUCAGCUGAAAGCUUCUCAAAGUCCCAGCUUUCUCACACAAUGAUUCAGCUCGGAUGAAUCGGUAUUCUCUGAUGGAAAACUAUCAUAUAGGUAAACUCCAGAUCAACUCUCUGGGCAAGCACCUUCCUACUUCCCAAAUAAUCAGCAAGGGUGAGUCAUCCAGGGGAAAGAAAGUAACCUGCAACAACUGUUGGGAGUGUGACAUAAGACUCCUAUUGGGAACAUACCUGAUGAGGUGCCGGACAACAGGGAUGUUUAAAGCAGGAACAUCUAAUGCUUUCAUGAGGAUCCAACAAGGAAGCAACUGUGACCACCUGAAACCUGAGAUCUGGCUCCUGCCUUUGUUUCAAAGUAAUUUGGAUCAUCAGAGAUCCUCACAGGAGGUGAGAGAUUCCAUACAAGCUAUGAACUGACAGCCCAGGAGGAAUUUUCCAUCUAUUGACUCUUCUGUGAAAUCCUAUGAAAUAUGAACUUUCAUUUCUACCCAGGAGCACUUUUACAAUCUUUUCUCCAAUGCUUGAUGAAGGGCGUUUGUACCCGGAAGCUUGCAGUUAAAGAAUUUUUCUUGCAAAAAUCUUGUUGAUCUAAUAAAAUGAUCAUCUCUACUACAAGUCCUGAUUGCCUUUUCCUCUAGACCAAUAUGGCUACAACUUGGAUACCUUUCUUUCCCUAUGGUAUUCAAGUUGUCACAGGAUUGUAUUUCUAUAAUCAUAAUUCUUUGUCUAGGUUCUGUGUUUGUCUCUUUCUCAAUCUUCAAAAAGCUGGUGAAGGAAAGAGGGGAGUUCUUCAUUUUUUUUCCCCUCACAGUAAUUCAGGAAAUUAAGAAGAGUGUUUCUUUCCUUCUUCCUUUCACAGAUUCAUAGAUGGUGAGGCUAGAAGGGACCUUGGAAGAUCAUCGGGUCCAGCCCUGCUGCACCAAGCAAGAAAGAUAACUGGGGGUCAGGUGACCCUAGCAAGGUGGCUGGCUAGUCUCCUCUUCAAGAUUUCCAGAGUAGAUGAUUGCCUUUUCUUGUGGUGGGGGGUCUUACAAAGUGUCUUUUCUUCCCUCAACAAUAUUUUCUCUUUUCCCUUCCUAUCUCAUUGACUCUGUUUGGCAGAAAUAUUAUUAACUUAAGAGACCAUUGCUGUAGAGCAGUGGUUCUCAAACAGGUGUCAGCAGCUGCUUGGGGGGGCUGUGAGCAGGUUUCAGGUGGUCCACCUGGCCCGGCCCAGCAUGGCAUGGGGAAAAGCCACCUUGGUCCCCACAGGACUCAGGCAAGUCCUGAGGAAGGGGCAGAGGUGGGCCUGUGCUGCCCAGCCCCACAGCCUCCAUCUUGCAGGCUGCACAGAGGGUGGACAAGUGAGGCUACACACUGCUGCUGCUCAGGUAAGUGGGGCCCUGGGGCUCCUUGCCAACAGGCCCUUCCUGCUGCAGCUUGGGCCAUGCAGGUGGGGCUGGGCAGCUGGACACUUUUUAUGGCACAGAUGGGCCAGGGAGUUUUUAUAGCAUGCUAGAGGGGGCCUCAGGAAGAAAAAGGUUGAGAACUCCAGCUGUAGAGCUCCUUGCCAAAUCACUGCAGUCCUUCAAAUGCUUCCUAGUGGUAAGGGCCACGUUUUUCUUUUUUAAUUUUUUUAAGAGUUAAGCUAAGUCUAUAUUUAAAUUUUUAAAUUAGUGGCAUAAUUUUCAGGAGUGCAGCAUGCCCACUGAGUCAACAGCAGCUCUUGAGCACUCAGCAUUUGCAAGUCAAUGCACUCCUUUAUGCUCUCUAAAUGUAGAUGGAGGACUAUGACUUAGUUUUUAAGAUCGUUGCCAUUAUGUAUUUUGUAGCGAUAGCUAUUCGUGUAUUUUUCUAAACUUUCAGGUUUUCUUCAGGAAGAGUUAACAUUACCAGAAAAGUCAAACUCAACUUGUAGCUGUAGCAAGUGAAGUGAAGGCUUUCAGUAUAUUAAUUUGUCAAGAAGUUUGUGUCAGCAGACUAACUUUAUUCAUAUAAAUACUUUCUUUUCUUUUUUGUACAAGCUUUUUUUUAAAAAGCUUGUUUAAUAUUAAAUCAUUUUUACUGGACAUAUUUUAAAACCCCAAGUUGUAUUAUUGUGUUGUUCUUAUCUCUGAACAAAGGGUACUUGUAAUUCCCACACUGAAAGGUGAAUAACUGCCAAAACCUCUUGUUCCAUGUGAUAUUCUGUAUACAGAUUGUUCACUUGAAUUUUAUUAUGAUGUAUUUCUUUUUACACUUUCAGUUCCCUGACUACUAAAAUGCAGACUUAUGGAAGCAUUAGUGCAUUGGGCCUAUUAAUUUCAAAAUAAUCUGUUCCUUAAUGUACUUUGUAUAUGUUGUUAUAAAAGUGCCAAGAAUCUUGGCUUACAUUCUCAUUGUUAUUUUAUGAUUAAAUAAUUCCUAUGUAAACUCCACUUUUCCAAGAAAAAAAGCCUUUGAAUGAGA